UACGUAGGGUGCAAGCGUUGUCCGGAAUUAUUGGGCGUAAAGAGCUCGUAGGCGGUCUGUCGCGUCUGCUGUGAAAACUCAGGGCUUAACCCUGAGCUUGCAGUGGGUACGGGCAGACUAGAGUGCGGUAGGGGAGACUGGAAUUCCUGGUGUAGCGGUGAAAUGCGUAGAUAUCGAGAGGAACACCUGCGGCGAAGGCGGGUUGCUGGGCCGACACUGACGCUGGAGGCGCGAAAGACGUGGGGAGCAAACAGG
rnacentral:rRNA from 1 species